AUGAGUUAAGUAUAAACCCCUUUACAAGUAUCAAUUGGAGGGCAAGUCUGGUGCCAGCAGCCGCGGUAAUUCCAGCUCCAAUAGCGUAUAUUAAAGUUGUUGCAGUUAAAAAGCUCGUAGUUGGAUUUCUGUUAAUAAUUUUUAUAAUAUUUUAACGAUAUUUUGUAAUAUUAACAUAAUUCAUAUUACUAUAUUAUUUUAGUAUAUGAAAUUUUACUUUGAAAAAAUUAGAGUGCUUAAAGCAGGCAUUUGCCUUGAAUACUCCAGCAUGGAAUAAUAUAAAAGAUUUUUAUCUUUUUUAUUGGUUCUAAGAUAAAAAUAAUGAUUAAUAGGGACAGUUGGGGGCAUUUGUAUUUAACAGUCAGAGGUGAAAUUUUUAGAUUUGUUAAAGACAAAAUAGUGGGAAAGCAUUUGCCAAGGAUGUUUUCAUUAAUCAAGAACGAAAGUUAGGGGAUGAAGACGAUCAGAUACCGUCGUAGU
rnacentral:rRNA from 1 species